GGGGGGAGGCCAGAUCCUGGGCUGUGUUCUGCCCUGUGGUCCUGGGCUUGCGCUGUUGGAUUCCCACUCCCAGAGGCGCAGCCCCCU
rnacentral:pre_miRNA from 1 species